UAGGGAAUCUUCCGCAAUGGACGAAAGUCUGACGGAGCAACGCCGCGUGAGUGAUGAAGGUUUUCGGAUCGUAAAGCUCUGUUGUUAGGGAAGAACAAGUGCGAGCGUAACUGCUCGCACCUUGACGGUAACUAACCAGAAAGCCACGGCUAACUACGUGCCAGCAGCCGCGGUAAUACGUAGGUGGCAAGCGUUGUCCGGAAUUAUUGGGCGUAAAGGGCUCGCAGGCGGGUUCUUCAGUCUGAUGUG
rnacentral:rRNA from 1 species